rnacentral:tRNA from 1 species
GCGUGCAUAGUUCAACGGUAGAACACCUGCCUUCCAAGCAGAAGAUGACAGUUCGAGCCUGUCUGCCCGCA